rnacentral:lncRNA from 1 species
UAAGAUCAAUAACUCCAAUUUCAUUCCUUUCCUUUCCAAUGAAGCCUAAAUUCAUUCUUAAGUUUAUGCUCAUUUGGGUUAUUUGCAUGUGAUCACCUUUUAAGAGUUAGAGAGAAGAAUUAGCACUGAAUAAGUAUGUUAGAGCAGAAGAACAUGGGCACAAGAUGGAAGCUUGAAGUUUUGAUUGUGGAUUUUUGAAGAAAUUUGGGUUAAACCCGUAUUCAAGGACAGACCUUCCCUAAAAAGGUAAUUGUUCUCUCUUUGUAACUCCGAAUGAUAUGUUGUUUGUUUAUGUGUAUAGCUAACUCAAAUAUGGUCGUUAUGAUAUCAGUUUUAUAAUUUUUGGACGAGGGAUGAGGUUGGUAGCCAUUUUUGAAGUUGGAAGUCAGUAGAAGGAAUUGUGCAGAAAAUCUGAUUUUUUUUUGUUUUUAUGGGCUACAGGUUUGCAUUUUGAGCGGCUCAAACGGAUGAUUAUAAGCGUGUGAAACAGUUCGGAAUUGCUAUCAACUCAGGUGGGUUCCCUUAAGUUCAAUUUCACCUUAAUAGAGUAGUUCAUAGUUUUCCCCAAAUAUUAAACUAUGCAUGACAACUUAAGUUUGGUUAUGUUUAGGAUUAAAUUAGAAUAACUCAUUAACUGAUUAAUUAACCACUUAAAUAAGCCCUGCAUGUUGAAUUGACUGUAAUAUGUGGAAUUUAGUACGAAGUAUAAUUAUGUAAGCUGAAUUGGACAUAAACACUAUGUUGAGUUAUGCAGGAUUCCGUGGUUGAAUCGGCUCAACCAGAGCUUGCAUUGAUCCAUAAGUUUCCUUGUGAAGCAAAAAUGUGUCUUAUGCGCCUCAUGAGCCGGUUCAUGCCUUGAAUGAGCCUGUGCAUAAGCGCAUAAUGUAUUUUAUUAAAAUCUGGGAAAUGUUGCAUCGGUACAAACGUUGUGUGAACCGGCUUAAGCAUGUCCUGGGUGAGUUUGAAUUGCUACAAGGCAAACUUGUGUCGAUGCAUAUAAGUCAAAUAUCUUGCUUUCUUAAAAACUGGAUUAUAUGCAUUGGUACAUAGAACCCUUGAACCGGUGCAAACAAAAUAAUUUACUAAAAACCUUUUGGCUUAUAUAUAGGAGGUAUAAUAACCGUUUUAUUUCAACUGAAAAUCCUCCAUUAUGAACAUUAUUUUAUAAAAACUAUAAGUGACUAGAAUUCCACGAUUACGGACUUUCGUACAUGUAUUAAAAUCAGUUAGACAAUUGAAUCAGGAUAUUCAGGAUUGUUAGAAAUACCCUCGGGAAGGUUUUCUUUUCUUUGUGCAGGAUAACCAUUCAAGAUUAUGAACAUUAGUUACCAUGUCAUGAGAAUCAUUUCAGAAUCCGAGAAAUUUAAUAAGAACUGCAAGCUGAGGUGGAACCCGACGUAUAUUAUUAUCGGUAGUACGAGGACUAGGCACUCCGGGACCCGCUUGCCUCGAAGUGACCCUAUGCGGAUAAUAUUGACAAGAUAAUAAUAAGCGGUACACCUUUACUGCUUUAUAUUAUUAUGUUAUGAAUUAUGUCAGGAUUAGUACUAUUAGAAGUUCAGGAUCAGGUUAUGUUAGAAACUAUUAGUUUUAGUUGCCCUGGUGUAGUCACCAGUAGUUGGGUAGUAGGAACUCACUGAGGCUUAGUAGUGUCAUCCCACGCCCUUCAAAUUUUUUUAGGUAAAUAGGUUAACCUGAGCAAGGACCAGACAGGAACCGAUGAUCGACGUUGCGCUUGGAUUAUCGGAUUAGAAGACUUUCGUUAAGCUGUUAAGUUGGGAUACAAUUUGUUAAGUUGUUAAGUUGAGAUACAAUUCUCUUUCGUUUGUAUUGUACUGGAUUUUCACAUUGUUCUUGUGAUAUCUUGUAAAUUCAAUAAAUUAUUUUUGAAUUUUAAGGUGCUCGGAUUUCAAUUAUUAAAUAUUCUAGUCAAUUUAGUUGGG